AAAAACGAAAAUACUAGUUAGUGUACGAUAUAUUAUUUUUUCAAUAUAAAGCUCUUUUAAUCAUUGAGAAGAUUGGAAAUUAUUCACUGAAUGAUUAAAUUUAAUACUUUACCAUGCUUAUCCACGAUUUAUUUUUUGUUGUGCUUAUGAAGUGAAUUUUGCUAAUCUUGGGACUUGUUCAAUAUAUAAUUUCAUUUGUUCGGUACGGUAUCAACACAACAUCGCGUUUUCCAGCAUUCUUACAAAUAAUACGCGUUUUAGUUAUUUUUCAAUACGAGUGCUUUUUCAUGCUGUUUCUCGAAUGAAUCUCGGAAAGGAAAACGGAUACGUGGGCAAAAUGCUUGAAGUAGAUGCCUAGCCGUUUAUUACCAGCACUACCAGUCUGCAUCCAGUUUCGCCAUUGUGUCGUGUUCAGCUAUCAUCAGAGACAUUUGGAAAGUUGCCACAGAAAGCCAUUAAAAGCUCAGCAUUUGAGAGUAAAAUGAGAAACCGAUAAUUACGAAUAUGAUGAUUAUUUUAUGGGAGAGCUCCAUUCCGACCUUCGCGAGCAAGUCGGCAACAGCUGCGACAAGUGUGGGAAAUUGAUUGUGACCAAAGUUAAAAAGAUUGGAAGAUACACCAAGAUAUGAUUCAAAUACAAAGAAAUACAUGCGCU